rnacentral:tRNA from 3 species
GGGCCGGUGGCGCAGCUGGGAGCGCGCCGCAAUCGCACUGCGGAGGUCGGGGGUUCGAAUCCCCUCCGGUCCACCA